rnacentral:rRNA from 1 species
GCAUAUCAAUAAGCGGAGGAAAAGAAAAUAACAAUGAUUCCCCUAGUAACUGCGAGUGAAGAGGGACAAGCUCAAAUUUUAAAUCUGUCGGGUUCUACCUGACCGAGUUGUAAUUUGAAGAGGCGUUUUCUGUGUUUCUGAUCAGUCCAAGUCCUUUGGGAUAAGGCAUCACGGAGGGUGAGAAUCCCGUUCGGUUGAUCAGAUUCGCUUUAUGAUACGUCAUCAAAGAGUCAAGUUGUUUGGGAUUGCAGCUUAAAAUGGGAGGUAAAUUUCUCCUAAGGCUAAAUAACGGCGAGAGACCGAUAGCGAACAAGUACCGUGAGGGAAAGAUGAAAAGAACUUUGAAAAGAGAGUUAAAUAGUACGUGAAAUUGUUGAAAGGGAAACGAUUGAAGCCAGUCGUACCUGCGGGUAAUCAGCCUUUUGGGCAUGAUUCUGUGGAGCGUGAGGAGUUAAACGCCUUCAUGCCUGCAUAUUCGUGUACUUUGGGUGUACUUGCCUGUGUGGUUAGUUAACAUCAAUUUUGGUUAUCAUAAAAUGGCUGGAGGAAUGUAGCUUCGAUUUCGAUUGAAGUGUUAUAGCCUUCGGCAGAUGUGAUGAUCGGGAUUGAGGAUUGCAACGGAUACCCUUCGGGGCUACCUGUCUGAUCUCUGAUCGUUGCUCUGGUGCCGAAAGCGUGCUUACGGUUAUCAAAGUCGAUGGUUAAUAGGUUAGAACGGGUUAAAUUCGUUAAGGAUGUUGACGUA